rnacentral:rRNA from 2 species
AGACCCGAAACCCGGUGAUCUAGCCAUGGGCAGGUUGAAGGUUGGGUAACACUAACUGGAGGACCGAACCGACUAAUGUUGAAAAAUUAGCGGAUGACCUGUGGCUGGGGGUGAAAGGCCAAUCAAACCGGGAGAUAGCUGGUUCUCCCCGAAAGCUAUUUAGGUAGCGCCUCGUGAAUUCAUCUCCGGGGGUAGAGCACUGUUUCGGCUAGGGGGCCAUCCCGGCUUACCAACCCGAUGCAAACUGCGAAUACCGGAGAAUGUUAUCACGGGAGACACACGGCGGGUGCUAACGUCCGUCGUGAAGAGGGAAACAACCCAGACCGCCAGCUAAGGUCCCAAAGUCAUGGUUAAGUGGGAAACGAUGUGGGAAGGCCCAGACAGCCAGGAUGUUGGCUUAGAAGCAGCCAUCAUUUAAAGAAAGCGUAAUAGCUCACUGGUCGAGUCGGCCUGCGCGGAAGAUGUAACGGGGCUAAACCAUGCACCGAAGCUGCGGCAGCGACACUGUGUGUUGUUGGGUAGGGGAGCGUUCUGUAAGCCUGUGAAGGUGUGUCGUGAGGCAUG